rnacentral:rRNA from 1 species
AUUGAACGCUGGCGGCAGGCCUAACACAUGCAAGUCGAGCGGAGCGGCGGACGGGUGAGUAAUGCCUAGGAAUCUGCCUGGUAGUGGGGGAUAACGUCCGGAAACGGGCGCUAAUACCGCAUACUAUCAGAUGAGCCUAGGUCGGAUUAGUUAGUGGGUGGGGUAAAGGCCUACCAAGGCGACGGUCCGUAACUGGUCUGAGAGGAUGAUCAGUCACACGGGAGCGGAGAAACGGGCCAGACUCCUACGGGGGGCAGCAUGGGGGAAUAUUGGACAAUGGGCGAAAGCCUGAUCCAGCAAUGCCGGGUUUGUGAAGAAGGUCUUCGGAUUGAAAAUCACUUUAAGUUGGGAGGCGUUACCAACAGAAUAAGCACCGGCUAACUUCGUGCCAGCAGCCGCGGUAAUU